CUCUGACAUGAUGAGGUAGACUUGUUACUAGGAUCUUCUUCUGCUCCUGUGCGUCUGAACCAAUCCCUUUUCAGCACAGCAAUCUUUGCGUUGACCUUCGGCGUGGAUUUCCUUGAGGGCAGGGUGGCCUCUCUGGAAGUUGAACCAAGUGGCUUAGGGUGGAGGAAUCAUCAGAGCUGCUGUUGAUGCAGCCAGAGAAAUAUAUGAAUGACUGCAAAGAUGUAGCGACUGAGCCAAUGGGAAGAAAGGGAAAAUCACUGGGCCAAUCGCAGGGCUCUUUUCUUCUCCCCCCUGCAGCAUCUCCCUGACUUCUUCUCCUGACUGUUACCAGGUCAGUGUGCCUGCCCGCGCCUCUGAAUAAUCUGUUUCAUUGGGUCAGUGUGCCUUUCUCGACGCGCCUGACUGGCUGCCGAGGCAUACGCGGUUGCUAGGGAGCUCAGCCAAUCGGAGGAAGGCGGAAGUUUCACUUCGGUUUCCAGGCAGGUUUGACGUGCUGUAGAUGUUUUGGCGGGAGAGUGGGAGAGCUACUAAGUGGGAGGGGCUGCUACACAGUGAAGUGGAGCAUGUGAUGGGGAAACGAGAACCAAUUGCUGUGCUGUUGCCAUCGGAGCGGGGAGGUUUGUUUUCUCUCCGCUUCCACCACUGCACCUGCCUACCAACACUUUAGAGGCCAAUCGAGUGUUCAGAACAUUCUGGGACAUCUCUGAGGAGGAAGAAGUGCAGAAGCAUCCUGCUGGAGAACAGCUCAUACAAUAGCACCUGAACUUUUGUCAUGCAUGCCUGUGAUGCAAAAAUAACAAGAUUAACUGUUUGGUAGAGUAGCUUGCACCCCUAACCCCUAAAAACAUACACAAGCAUGUCUUUCACCAGCACAUUAACUCCCCCACCCCACUGAAGCACGCAGUUAAGGCAAGAAAGUAACUCAUCCCAUCUGACAUGGGUCUCCAAAAAGCCUAUUAUUAACACCCAAGUGCACACGGAGUUACAAGGAUUAUACUGGAUAGGAAGGAGUGAGUGGACACAAUUCUCCUUCUCAGGACAGAAAACAAACAUUUUGUUCCAGUCUUUUAAAAAGGGAGUCUCUGUUUCUGUAAAUAUUUUAUUGUAAACACAGCAUCUUUUUAAAAAUUUCUUAAUUGACACAACUUAAUUUUUUUUAUGUUUAUGUUUAUGCAACUAUGACAGGCAUUUUAAAAGAGUUGUUAAACAAGUUUUAAAGAUGUUUCCCUUUCCGUCUUUUGUUGUAUUAAACCAAUAACAUACACAAAAAAGUUAACAUUAUUAUUCACUGCUUCUGCAUGUUUGA